rnacentral:rRNA from 1 species
GACGAACGCUGGCGGCGUGCUUAACACAUGCAAGUCGAACGGUGAAGCGAGUGCUUGCACUCGUGGAUCAGUGGCGAACGGGUGAGUAACACGUGAGUAACCUGCCCAUCACUCUGGGAUAAGCACUGGAAACGGUGUCUAAUACUGGAUACGACCAACCCUUGCAUGGGGUGUUGGUGGAAAGAUUUAUCGGUGAUGGAUGGACGCGCGGCCUAUCAGCUUGUUGGCGGGGUAAUGGCACACCAAGGCGACGACGGGUAGCCGGCCUGAGAGGGUGACCGGCCACACUGGGACUGAGACACGGCGCAGACGCCUACGGGAGGCAGAAGUGGAGAAUAUUGCACAAUGGGCGAAAGCCUGAUGCAGCGACGCCGCGUGAGGGAUGACGGCCUUCGGGUUGUAAACCUCUUUCAGCAGGGAAGAAGCGAAAGUGACGGUACCUGCAGAAGAAGCACCGGCUAACUACGUG